AAUCUGCUGCGGGCAGAUAAAGUGAAUGUGCGCGUCGAUACCGCCAGCGGUGAGGAUCAUGCCCUCGCCCGCGAUGACUUCGGUACUCGGGCCGACGAUGAUAUCGAUACCGGGCUGGAUGUCCGGGUUACCGGCCUUGCCGAUGGCCUGGAUGUUGCCAUCCUUGAUCGCCACAUCGGCCUUGAUCACGCCCCACCAAUCCACAAUCAGGGCGUUGGUGAUGACGGUAUCCGGCGUCUCGGCGCGGGUGCGCUGGCUUUGGCCCAUGCCAUCACG
rnacentral:sRNA from 1 species